AGGCCAGUAGCUCAGUCCGGCUAGAGCACCGGUCUCCAAAACCGGGAGUCGGGGGUUCGAAUCCCUCCUGGCCUGCCA
rnacentral:tRNA from 1 species